rnacentral:rRNA from 1 species
UACGGAGGGUGCGAGCGUUGUCCGGAAUCACUGGGCGUAAAGGGCGCGUAGGUGGCCUGUGGAAGUCUGCGGUGAAAGCCCGGCGCUCAACGCCGGGUCGGCCGUGGAUACUCUUGGGCUCGAGCUUACUAGAGGCAGAUGGAAUUCCGGGUGUAGCGGUGGAAUGCGUAGAGAUCCGGAAGAACACCGGUGGCGAAGGCGGUCUGCUGGGGUAAUGCUGACACUGAUGCGCGACAGCGUGGGGAGCGAACAGG